rnacentral:lncRNA from 1 species
CCCUGUCCUGAUUUAACUGCUGCUGUCGAAAAUUUUCCUUCCUUUGUACAUGCGCCAUGCUUUAGAAUUGAUGUGUACACAGCUCUUGCGUCUGGGGUUUGGUCUGCUUCAGUCUAAUAGAGAUUGUUGAAGAGGUUGUAAAAAAAGUGCUAGUAGUUGUUUAUGUGUAAUCUAAUCUAAUAUAUAUCUUCAUGACUGACUUGUGUUGGUCUUUUGCAUUGCUUGCUGAGUGGAACUGAACCCUCUUCAUGUCUAUCCACACCGUAAUCUUUUGGCUGCUACUCACUUUGAAUUGGAUUGGAAGUGACGACGCGAUGCUCCUCAGCAGUAGCUUCAGGAUCUGGCAACAUGAUCUUGUUUUCUCUAAGAAAACAAUAGCGUCAGCUGACUUGUUAAACAAUGAGUGAUAGUAUAACCACUGCAAACAAAGAACACAAAGCUUAAAAGACAAGCAUUUGCGUAUGCAUCCACAUGAGCUACCCUAUCAAAACAAUAGCAUAUGACCGAAAGCUAAACACGGUCAACCCAAACGAACCUGUCGACAUAGAAGAGCUCAUGAACGUGGUAACCUCCACUUGCUAUCGACUCUUCGAUUUCGGCGUCUCGUCAAUGAUCGGCAGGUCCUGUACCUCUCUCUCUCUCU